rnacentral:rRNA from 1 species
ACUACAAACUUUACUUGCUUGCCAAUGGCCAAUCUUGUUAGAUCUUGGAAGCUAAGCAAGGCCUGGCCUGGUCAGUACUUGGCUAGGAAACUGUUGGGCAUACCAGAGUGGGGUGGUAGUG